CUUGCCCAUGGGCUACUGAUGUCAGAGGAGGUGCUGAACAUGCCAUCUUUAGAGCCAAGAUGUUGCUUUGUGUUCUGGAGCCAGCGGGGAACUCUUUGGUGUCGGAUACUCUUGGACAUUAGAAUAUUUUGUGUGCUGAGAAGCAGGCAAGCCUGGGACUGCAUUGAUAGAAGACAAAGUACAUAGAAUCUGGUGCUCUAAUAAAUUAUCCAGUGUACUUUA